rnacentral:rRNA from 1 species
UACGGGGGGAGCAAGCGUUGUUCGGAUUUACUGGGCGUAAAGGGCGCGUAGGCGGUCAGCACAAGUCAGUUGUGAAAUCUCCGGGCUUAACUCGGAAAGGUCAACUGAUACUGUGCGACUAGAGUGCAGAAGGGGCAACUGGAAUUCUCGGUGUAGCGGUGAAAUGCGCAGAUAUCAGGAGGAACACCGGUGGCGAAGGCGGAUCUCUGGGCCUUACCUGACGCUCAGGUGCGAAAGCUAGGGGAGCGAACAGG